UACGGAGGAUCCGAGCGUUAUCCGGAUUUAUUGGGUUUAAAGGGUGCGCAGGCGGACUUUUAAGUGAGAUGUGAAAUACCCGGGCUCAACUUGGGUGCUGCAUUUCAAACUGGAAGUCUAGAGUGCAGGAGAGGAGAGUGGAAUUCCUAGUGUAGCGGUGAAAUGCGUAGAUAUUAGGAGGAACACCAGUGGCGAAGGCGGCUUACUGGACUGUAACUGACGCUGAGUCACGAAAGCGUGGGUAGCAAACAGGAUUAGAUACCCUGGUA
rnacentral:rRNA from 1 species